rnacentral:rRNA from 1 species
AACGAACGCUGGCGGCAGGCCUAACACAUGCAAGUCGAACGAACCUUCGGGUGAGUGGCGCACGGGUGCGUAACACGUGGGAAUAUACACACAGGUAAGGAAUAACACAGAGAAAUUUGUGCUAAUACCUUAUAAUGACUCCGGUCCAAAGAUUUAUCGCCUGUGGAUUAGCCCGCGCUAGAUUAGAUAGUUGGUGAGGUAAGAGCUCACCAAGUCGACGAUCUAUAGGGGGUCUUAGAGGAUGAUCCCCCACACUGGAACUGAGACACGGUCCAGACUCCUACGAGAGGCAGCAGUGAGGAAUAGUGCGCAAUGGAGGAAACUCUGACGCAGCCAUGCCGCGUGAAUGAAGAAGGCCUUAGGGUUGUAAAAUUCUUUCAGAUGCGAAGAUAAUGACGGUAACAUCAGAAGAAGCUCCGGCUAAAUUCG